GAAAAGAUUGCCCGCGCUCCUUCUCCAACCGCUCAGUCACCACCACUAGCGGGCGUUUUCAGCGACGAGCUUGGAGUGCCCCCGUGUGGACGGAGGUGAGCACUGCAAUUGCCUCCUUACAGAUAUUGGCUUCACCCUAAGGGUAAAUGAAUGAAAUCACCAAGACUAUCAUAGCUGUAUGAAGGUGGUAACUGAAUGUUCUCCAGGAAGAAAUAACAGAUGAAAGUGACUGAGUCAUUCGAACCAAGGUUUAGAAUGCAGAGGGAAAAAAAGAAGGGAAAAAAGAGAAAUGUAGAAUGCUGUAGUUGAGUCAAAAAUUCUCCAGAAGCUUGCAGAAGUACAAGAAGAUAAAAAC
rnacentral:lncRNA from 1 species